CCUACGGGAGGCAGCAGUGAGGAAUAUUGGUCAAUGGGCGGAAGCCUGAACCAGCCAAGUAGCGUGCGGGAUGAAGGCCCUACGGGUCGUAAACCGCUUUUGCACGGGGAUAACACCCUCCACUUGUGGAGGUCUGCAGGUACCGUGCGAAUAAGGGCCGGCUAAUUCCGUACCAGCAGCCGCGGUAAUACGGAAGGCCCGAGCGUUGUCCGGAUUCAUUGGGCUUAAAGGGAGCGUAGGCGGGCGUUCAAGUCAGCUGUAAAAUCGCGCGGCUCAACCGCGCCCCGCAGUUGAAACUGGACGCAUUGAGUUCACAACAGGCAGGCGGAAUUCGUGGUGUAGCGGUGAAAUGCAUAGAGAUCACGAGGAACCCCGAUUGCGAAGGCAGCCUGCCGGGGUGCGACUGACGCUGAGGCUCGAAGGUGCGGGUAUCAAACAGGAUUAGAUACCCCUGUAGUC
rnacentral:rRNA from 1 species